rnacentral:rRNA from 1 species
GACGAACGCUGGCGGCGUGCCUAAUACAUGCAAGUCGAACGAAGCUGUUUUAACUGGUGCUUGCACCGACUUAAACAACUGAGUGGCGAACGGGUGAGUAACACGUGGGUAACCUGCCCCAAAGCGGGGGAUAACAUUUGGAAACAGAUGCUAAUACCGCAUAACCACAGAAACCACAUGGUUUCUGUGUCAAAGAUGGUUUCGGCUAUCACUUUGGGAUGGACCCGCGGCGUAUUAGCUAGUUGGUAAGGUAAUGGCUUACCAAGGCAAUGAUACGUAGCCGAACUGAGAGGUUGAUCGGCCACACUGGGACUGAGACACGGCCCAGACUCCUACGGGAGGCAGCAGUGGGGAAUUUUGGACAAUGGGCGAAAGCCUGAUCCAGCAAUGCCGCGUGCAGGAAGAAGGCCUUCGGGUUGUAAACUGCUUUUGUACGGAGCGAAAAGGUCUCCUCUAAUACAGGGGGCUCAUGACGGUACCGUAAGAAUAAGCACCGGCUAACUACGUGCCAGCAGCCGCCGUAA